UUGUGGUGUCUACAGGGUGGCGCACGUCGGACCACCGGGAGGCAGGGGGAGAGCCGCGGCUGUUGCUAGGGACGCCUAGUGACGGGCCGGACGGGCGCCUGGGUGACGUCGGAUCCGGAAGUACGUCACUGCUGCAGAGCGGGAGGGAACAACGGACGCUACUACCCUGGAGACAUCCACAUCAUAUAAAGGGAGCUCUGCAGACCGAUUCUGAUACACCCUCCUGCCCUUCUCCCCCACAUUCCUCAUUUCAGUACAUACUCUAAAAUGAAGUGUUCCAGCAGAUUGUCACACAACAGGAAUUGCAUGGAGGUAACAGACUAAACAAACGGCUAAAUAGGCUGGGCUGUGUCAGGAUACCGCUGACUGAAUGAGACACGGAACUUCACACAAAUUGGGCUAAUGAAAGCAUCAGAAUUCUUUUGUUAGUUGUGCCAGAAGAAUAUUCUGAGAACUCCCUCUUACCUCACAAUUGUUAGUCCACUGAAAACAAUCUUGAAAUGCUUCUUCAUACUUCUCAUUA